AUUUCAAAAAACACACCCUCAAGAAAUCAAACCACCAUUAGAACCCAUCAAUAGGGAAACCAUAAUGCGCUGAAGGCAUAAAAUACUAAUUAGAGAGAGCACUAUUAAACUUCAAACUACUAAAAUCAAACAAACAACAUAUGGAGGAUAGAAAAACCUAUAACAUAAAUAGACACAAAAAAAUGCCAAAUCCAAACGCAUAUAAUUGACAUUGGAAAUGAUAAUCCAACACAUACACGAAAUAACUGAUCCAGAAGAAAAAUAAAAACGAUAUUAAGGUUUGUGGGAGAGUAAUACCUGUUUGUUAACCUCUACACCAAUGGCGCGCUUGGUGACGUUCCAGACGCGACCGGUGCGGCCAUGGUAGAACUUAUGAGGCAUCCCCUUGUGGACGGCGCCGUUAACCUUGACGUCAACAUAAUCACCGAUGUGGUAAGUUCGGAGGUAAGUGGUGAGGGCGAUGGUUCCCUUCUUCCUGAAAGGACGAGAGAAGGAAUCUCUGGUGCGAGAUCUCAAACCGUGACCGGCCGGCAUGGUUGCUUACCUAGGGUUUGUCACUCACUCUCUGCGCUCGGCUUGGGUAGAAGGAAGUAUCGUAAACCUUCUUUACAUUUUCUUUUAUAGUGGAGCAGAUCGCUAGGGUUUUGGUAUGUCCAACGGCUUUUAAUUGGGCUUUUUUUUUAAAUGGGCUUAUGUGGUACAUCUCAGGCCUUAAUGAUAUCCAAUUCCCUUAACUACACACCCUUUUUUAAUAAAUAAGGUAGGAGUGGCUUAAAUAUAAUUUUAUUAAUUUUCCAAAUUAUGGAGUAUUCUAAUAAUAUUUUUUUUUCAUGAUAGUUGAGAUUAAAGAAAAUUCACGAUUUAGUCAGUGAAAUAUUUUUUGCUUUAAAAAUAUUAAAUUUGGUGUUAGAAAAAUAAUUCUAAUUGUGGAUAGCUAAGAAAUAUGCUACUUUUGUUUCUUUUUCUAAAUUUUGUUAUCAAAGUAAUUUUUUUAAUGUUCAGAUUGUAAGAUGAUAUCAUUUUAAUUUUAUUAUUCCAUACAUUUAAUUUUCAACAAAAGAAUAAAUUGUUGAAAAAAAAGUCUAAAAUAGUCAUUCUUUUACCAAUUAUCAAUCACUUAUAAAAGUCCAAAAUGUAAUAUUUAAUUCAGUUCUCAUCAUCAUGUUGUAUCACAUUUGGAUAAAUUCGCUGAUGAUUCAUCAUUUUGUUUUUUUAUAAUUUUAAUUUAUAUAUAAUUUUUAGCAAUCUUUAUCUUAAUUAUCAAUGAUAUUUCAAUUCAAAAAAUACAUACAAAAUAAUAUUAAAAAAUUAAUUAUGUUGCAUUUUAUAAUUUAAAUAUUCAAAUAAUUAAUAUAUAUAUAUAUAUAACAAUUAUAAAAAUAAAAAAUAUAUAUAUAUAGGUAAAAUGUAUGGAUGGGAGGUAGUUAUAUAUAUUCAUUUUUCUUCACUUAAAAAACUUAUUAUAAUGUGAGUUGCAGUUCAUGAAACCUAGUUAAAAAAAAGGAGAAUAUUUUUCACCAUCAAAAACUACCAAAUUGAGUUUUUGAGAAUUCAAGCUUAGUAAUUCAUGUCAUUAAUUGGAGAAAAAUAUAUAAGAGAUUGCCCUAAAGAACAAUGAAACAAAUCUUCUAUCACAAUCAACGUUUACAAAUAAUACUCAUGAGUUGUUAUUGAUAAAAAUUAAAUAAACGCAUUAUUUACCAUCUAGAAUGACGUAAUAAGAUGUUUAUACUUUGAAAACACAAUUAGAAAAUUCCAAAACGAGUUAGAAAUGAUACUAAGAAUAAAAUUAUGUAUACUAAAUAUGAAAGUAUGGAUUGGUGAUUUUAUCAAAAAUAGACAUUAGACAUCAUCAUGUGCAACACACUCACCAAAUACCAACAUAAAAAAAUAGUUUGAGGUGAUGGAUUUUAAAAAAAUUUAUUUGAAUUUAAAAUGUUAUAAAAACAUAAUUGAUAUCAUACACUUGCAAUCCUAAAAAAAAAGGACAUGAUUUUUCUCAAUACAACAAGACAACUAUGACUUAACUGAGGGCUAUUUGUUCUUACAUUUUCAUAUAUUUUUUUUCCAUCUCUAUAAAUUUUUAUAUUUUCAAAAAUACCUCUCUAUAAUAUUCUGGAUUACAUAAUCCGAUAGUCUUUUUUAACUUCCGAAUUACAUAAUUUGAAAAUCUAUUUUCAAACUCGUGUCUGGAUUAUAUAAUCUGGAGAAUACUAUAUAAGGGUGGCACAAUAAAUUUUCCCAUUGUGUAUGAGAUUGUGUAUUAGUAGAAAAACUCUUAACUAAGUUCGAUUUGGGUCAUAUCAAACCUAGGCCUGUCAUAGUAAACUAAAAGAUUUGGAACAGUAUUUUUGAAUUCAAAAUCUUCCUCCAUUUGUUUUUGUAAUUGGGGAGCCAAAACACCAAUUCUUAGACACCUUAAAUUAUAGUCCUUGUAAAGUUUGGCAUUUGAUCCCAACGACAAUACCACAUAAGAAUUUAUGAUGUAAAAAACACUAAAAUACUUUCUAACUGUAAUAAAUUAUUAAAAAAAUGUACAAGGAUUAAAACUUAAAUCAAGAAUUAUUAAGGACAAAAUAAAUGGUCAUAAACAGUAUUAACAGAUUAUUAUACCUUUAUUUUAUUACUUUGAAUUGAUGAAAAACAUAUUUUACAUAGAAAAAUUAAAAUUACAUCAUAGAAAUUAAAAUUUAACGAUAUUUUAUAUUUUACAUCGAAAUUUAUAUAAAAAGUGUCCUUGAAACCACUUAUGAGAAAAAUAAGUGGAUUCUAAACAAUAAUAACUUCAUAUUAUAAUCUGUAUUACCCAUAAAAUGAAAUUUACAAAUACAAGUAUUUAUUGUUUAAUGGUUUACUAAAAGUUAUACAAGUGUUAAAUAAAAUUUGAAGGAAUAAAAAAAAUUGUACUUAAGAAUCCUUGGCUAUUAAAUGGCUUAAACAGGAUUAUAAUUUGACUUAAUUCUGUUUUAAUUCUUAUAUUAAAUUUUUGUUUGAUUUUUUUAUUAUUUAAAAGAUGACCUAAACAAAAUUAGAGAUGAAAACAACACAAAAAGUUGAUUGUUUUAAUAAAAGACCUAAAUCAAGAUUAAAAACAAUUCUGAAGAACGAAAAGCAUAUUCAAUCGUAUUUACUUUAAAGAUUUUGAGGGCGUUGAUUGUGUAUAGUGGGGUGUUUGUACCAGUAGUUGCAACAAAUGAGGCCGAAUUGCAUUUGUUAAAGAACGAACCUAUCCACAAAAGAAAACCCUGUGGCAAUCACGAAGAUCAUUUGAAUGGAACUUCACAUGAAUUAAAGCACAAACAAAAUGAUCACUUACCAAACCAACAAUGAGAAAGUCAGCAAAAAGUCACAGUAAUUCAUCAUGUUAUUUCAGAGAACAGUCCUGAUUAUAUCCGCUUCCUAACUCUAAAAUGCCAUCACAAAAUUAUAAAAGAAUGCUGGAACAAACCAACAGCUCCAAUCAAGCUGCCAAUGCUUACAUUAAUAAAUAACUCUUAAGUGAACCUUAACCAAAAUUUAAUCAGUCUAAUAUUCUUUGUAUGUUCAACCAGGUAAACUCAUAGUUUAUCUAUGACAAAUUGUAAUAAAAGAAACAUGCAGAAUAUUCUUCCUGGACAGCAAAAAUAGAACAAAUCCUUGCUUAAAAAAGUGGCAAAAAAGCACUACCCAAUCCAACAAACAGCAAUGAAAAACAAAACACAAAACUAGUAACCGCCUUUAAGAUCGUUGACAACAUCAUACGGAAUAGGAGUGACGGUCUCCAGUGUAGCACCUUCCACCAUGAAACCAGGUUUAGGACCCUUGGGCUGCCUCUUGGUGCUAAUUUUCUCUCCCUUAGCUUUGGCAUCAGCCUUAAGUUGAUCAUUCUUGAUCUUCCUCAGCCGGAACUCCUCGGUGCACCUCGAGGGCAUCACGUGCUCCACACGCACGUGAAUCCUCUUUCUGAUUAUUCUGUUUCCGACCUACACAAAGUAUUUCAAUUACAUCAACUUCCCAUAUAAAAAGAAAUGCAUACGAGUUCAGAGCAGAAGCCUAAUAUAUCUAAUCGAGAAAGCCAUUAGGAUACAUCAAUUUUAAUAUUAAUAACGCGCUUAAAGCACAAAGCAGAAAUAACACAGAUUAGGAAGAAUCUAACAAUGAGCCAGUGAAGAAAUUAGAAGAAUGGAAGCAGAAAGGGUUUAGGGGAGAACGUAAUACCUGCUUGUUAACCUCGACACCAAUGGCGCGUUUGGUAACGUUCCAAACGCGGCCGGUGCGGCCAUGAUAGAACUUGUGGGGCAUUCCUUUGUGAACGGCGCCGUUUACCUUAAUGUCGACAUAAUCGCCGAUGUGGUAAGUUCGGAGGUAGGUGGUGAGGGCGAUGGUACCCUUCUUCCUGAAUGGACGAGAGAAGGAAUCUCUGGUUCGAGAUCUCAAACCGUGUCCAGCCGGCAUCUUUGGUUUACAGGGCUUUCUUUCUCUCUCACUACUCUGUGUUACCUAGGGUUUAUUUCCACUCCUUUUUAUAGUGUAUGUUCUUCCUACGAAUUUCUUCAUAGCCUCUACCGCCUUUCGUUUUAGCCAUUUGCCUCAAAUAUUUGCACCUAUAAAAAUAAAUUAAUUCUACUUAAUUAACAAAUAUACUACUUCUGUACUUUUUUACGUUUUUAUCCAAACAAAUUUAUUAUUUUUUAUGUUCAAAGUCCAGCAUUAUAUUGGUUAAUUGACUAGAUUUAAAAAAAAAUUAAAGAUAGUUCUAAAUUUAAAAAAUAAAUAUACUACGUAUUUUUUAAAAUAAGUCACACAAAAUUAAUUUCAACUUUUAAAUAUAGUAAUUUGACUUGUAAAAUUUAAGAAACAUAUAGUAAAACCUUGUUUUUACUUUUUAACAAUUAUAAUUAUUGAAUUUAAAAAAGGCGACCCAUUUUACAGGCUGUUAUGGCCAAGUCUACUUUGCUUACUCUAUUUAUAAUCUCAAAUAUUUGAAUAUUUUCCUUUUAUUAAUUAAGAAUAUGAAAAGAAAAAACCUCAAGUAUGCCUUGUGUAAAACUUUGUCAGAAAAGAUAGAAAAUAAUUUUAUGAUAUUUUUGACUUAAAAAAACAGUAUAACUUUGGUGUGAAAAGAAUAAUUUAAGAAGUCGUUUUAUAUCUAUUAUUAACUGUUUUAUAUUUUUUUAUGGAAAAUAGCUAUCAAUGUUUGUUAUGAUACCAUAACAAACAUGCAACGUUUUAUAUUUAUUAUUAACUGUUUUAUAUUUUUUUUUUAUGGAAAAUAGCUAUCAAUGUUUGUUAUGGUAACAUAACAAAUAUGCAAUUUCUUUGCUUUUGGACGUGAAAGGUGGUUUUUAGUAAGGGUGGUCAUGAAUUUUAAUCCAAUCCAAAGAUUUGGAUUAUAUUUAUAAUCUAAAUCCAUAUUUUUAAUAAAAAUAAUUUGGAUAUUCAAAUUCACAUAUUUGGAUUGGAUUUUAAGUAAAAAUUCAUAUCUUUAUAAAAAAAUUGUAUUUUAAAUAAAAAAUCAUGUUUUCUUAAAAAAUUAACAUAAUAUUAAUAUAAUAAUAUAUAUCAAUAAGUUAGAAUAUUAUAUAAAUAUUAAGAAAAUAUAAUAAAAUUAUAAUUUAAUAAAACUAAAAAAAAAUAAAGAUAACAUAAUAUAUACAUUUUUAAUAUUAAAAUAUAUCUACCUAUAAUACUUUAAUUAAACUUUGAAAAUAUUUAUAUCCAUUUAUUAUGUACAAAAUAUUAGAACAAAUAAAAUUAUAAAAAAAUGUAUAAAACUUGAUUGCAUAAUAAUGUAAUGUGUGUGAGACACUAACUAAAAUUAAAAAAGUGAAUAAGAGGUGGAACUAAGAAGUGGAACCAAGAGGUGCAGGAGAUUGAGAGAGAGGUGGAACCAAGAAAGAGCAACUAAAAUUUUAAAAAGUGAAUAAGAGGUGCAAGAGAGAGAGAAAACCACAAAUGAGAGAAAGUAUAGAAAGAUGGUUUAGAUAAAAUAGAGAAUUUGGAUUGGAAAUCUGGAUUUUCUAAUUUGAAGAUCUUUAUAAACAAAAUGGAUAUUUGUUCUGAAAAUAUAAUAAAAUAUAGAUCAAACUAAAAACUGGAUUUAAAUAAAUUGAUUUUUAAUGGAUUAGUGCAGUGCAGAAAUUGAGUAAUUUGACAAAAGUGGAUUUUUUGCCCAACCCUAAUUUUUAGGUGAGUCUCAAGCUUCCUUUGCUUUGAGAUGCGGCCUUGUGUGAAGAUGGUAUAAUGUGUGAGGAUAGAUUUUGUUUGCUCCUAGUAAUUUCAAAGAGAGAAAAAAAAAUGAAAAUAUGAUAAAUGAAUGUAAAGAUGGUGUGAAAGGGAAAAAAAGUGAGGUGAUAUAUGUUAAUAAGCUAUAUAAUAGAGACACUGAUACUGACACCGAAAUAUGUAAAAUUUCUAAAAUCUAGGACACGGAACACAGAUGUAUAUAUUAUAUAAUUAUGAACAGUAUAAAUUGACAAAAAAGAUUUUAUGUGUACAAGUAUAGUAGAAAGAUGUUUUUCAUGACUGAAUUUGUUUCUUAUUUUUAUAAUCAUAAUAACAAUUUAUAUAAUAAAAUUUGAAUUUUUAGAAAAUUAAUGUAUUUUUCAUUUUUUAAAUUGUUUUUAUUAGAACCGUACUAGAAUUGUCAAAAAUCUAACAAAUACUUUUUGAAUUGGACACUUCAUAGAUACGUGUUCUACAAGUAUCAUACAAGUGUCCGUAUCUAAUACAAGUAUCGGACAUCGACACAACAUGUAAGAGUAGUGUCUGAGCUUCAUAGUUAAUAAGAGAUAUAUAAGUAUAAAAAAACACUUUUGAAUUAUUAUAUACAUCUAUAAUUAAUUAUGGAGAUUUAUUAUCAUUAUAAUAAAAAAAUAAUUGAAAUAAUUUAUAAUAAUAAAUAAAUUUAUUAAUAAUAGGUAAAAUUAUAUUAUUUUUCAUUUAUUUUCACCAUCUUUCACCAAUUUAAAAAAGUUCAAUUUUCAUACCUUUUCACUUCUCUUAUUUUCUUUCUCCCUUCCUUAUUUUCCUUCUACUAAUCCAACCAAUCAUCAAGAAAAUACUUAAUCCCUGUCCUUUACUAGAACUGGCGAGGUAACCGGACAAGGCCUUCUUCAUGCGUGCCUAGAAACCUUCACGGAGCAAAGUAUUAACGAAAUUGUUCGUAGACAAGUUAGAACUCCACUGAACACCCAGUGUCUGUGAAAAGACAUUGCAAUAGCCUUGAACACAAAGAGUUAAAAAACAUUGAAUUCAUACUAUAUAAAUUGAAACAUUAUCGCACUUAAAAAUAGUGACUACUUAUAAUUAAUUUAAACAUUAAAACAACUGAACCACAUCAGCUCAUUUUCGGUAAAACGAGAGAUCCGAGAUUUUCAGUGGCAAUACUAUGAAGAACCAAUGUACAAAUCUCCAACAUAAACAUUCUGCGAGUGCUAUGGAGCAAUAUGCACCGUGUUGCUGCAAAGGACCUGAAUGUAGAGUGCAUAAUUCUCUUGACACUAUUCUAAAUGAACCCAGACAACCUGCAUAAAGCAUCAAGCAGUGCUUGCCAUUGACUCAAUAAGGAUCUGGUAACCUUCUGGUACAGAAGUCUGUGUCUGCACACAUUCCGUCAAUGCAGGAACAUCAGCAUUUACGUCUAAAACCCUUGCCAGUACAAGAAGAAGAUGAAAAUCAGAAAUUCGCUUCACAAAUGGAAGACUUUUCGUCCUGUCCAGAUGAUUCUUCAAAGCCUUCACAGUCAUCUGUGUGUUCCGGUUCUCAACGGGAAAUGUUGAUGAAAGAGGACCCUGCAUUUUGGUGACAAUACACUGGUAAGUUACUGACGGUUAAAAUUUACAAAGCAAACUAUAUGAUUUUUAUGAUUUGAAAAGAAAAGAAACAUUUUUAUGAAGACUGAAAUUUUAGUAGCAUAUACUUGGUUCAAGUCACAGGUAUACAAAAAAAAGAUUAGAAAACUUUUGGGUUGACAACUGUAUAACAUUUGACAGUUUAUCACUUUAAAAUAAAGAGAGAAAAGAAAAUAUAGUCAAUAAUUUAGCAAUCUGCAGCACAUAAAUUUGGCUAACCCUGGUUAAAGAGAUCAAGUGUUUGGCUGUCUUCUUUAGCGCUUAAAUUUUUUAACUAAAUAGCAUUGCUAUAAUUUUUUUAGCCUAAAAGAUACUUUUUAAAGUUAAAUUUUUUGGGUAAUGAGUUACUGGAACUUGAAGUUUAAACAAAAAGGAAAAGAAGGGAUAGAAGUAAAAAACAACAAAAACUAAUUCCUUUAAAAGCUCGUAUGACCAACUGUUUUAGAAGCUGCUUCUUUUUAAAGUUCUUUUUGUUAAAAGGGUUGAUUUUAUAAAAGACCCUUUUCUUAAAAUUAUAGUUGUCCAUCUUCUCCUAUCAAGGAGAAAAAUGACCAAAAACAAGUUGGGUAAUCAAACGUUACCUGGUAUCCUAUACCUAACAAGCACAGGACAACUAUUUAAAAAAGAAAGCCUCUGUGGUAGCAAUUGACAACUUAGAAAGAUCAUAUGAUCCUUCCAUACUCUUUCAACAUUUUAAGUUAUCUGAAAUAUGUAUCAUUUUGAUGAUCAAAGAAUCUUGGUAAUACGAUCACAACAAGUAGCAAUUCCCAAGCUUUUGGGAUAAAUAAAUUUGCCUGCUAUGUAACUAUUGACUGUCAUUUAAACUUCCUUUUUUUUUCUCAUGGAAGACUCCUUAAACCAAAAUAUCUACCUUCUAGAUAAAACAUGUUCAGGGAAUUAACUAGUUUGGAGGAAGAAUGAUACAGGUGGAAAAAAAUCCUUGAUUCCCUAAAGAGGCUAAAGACUGGAAGAACUAAAUGACAUGUAUACAUAAACACUAUUUUACAUUGAAGUAGCCCUUGUUGAUCAAAUUUGUGGUAAAAAAAUACAGUGAUUACCCGUUAUUACUUUGAUGUGCAGAAUUGUAUUAAGUUCUCUAAAUUUGUGGAAACUUCUAGUGCAAAUAUUAAUCUUACACUCACAACAGUAGACAAUUAAAAGAAUGAAAGUCCAGAAAUAGGAUUAUUUCAAAUUAUCCAUCACCAUGGGGUCUAUGCUCCUUGAAAUUAUUAAACUAGUUUUAUGGAACAAAAGAAAAUCCUGAAUCGGCGUUCUUGAUUUUACUACAGUCCAUUCAAACCAAUUAGGCACAUCCUCAAAUGGAUGGAAUUAGCUUUAUGCUGAAACAGCUAUUCUAUUCCUUUACUACCAUGAAUUCAUACCCUAAAAAGAGCCUUACUCAACAACAGAGCUGAGUAAGCCACCAUUUAGUACCAGAAAAUAGGGGUUCCUGCAAACCCAAUUGUGGCAGCAUAAACAUCACUUCUACAGUUUAAAAAUUAAAAUUUGUAUACACCUCAUGAAAACAAUUUUGAUGUUUAUUCUAAUGGUUAUGAGAAAAACAAUUAAUCUUUAACAGAUAGAUUAAAAAGAAAACAAAUGAUAUAGACGGCGAAUAACUCUUAGGCACUGAACCAAAAUACAGCCUAGGGGUAGAACAGAGCACAAGUACAGCAGACGUGCACCAUAAUUCAGCAAACAUGGUAAUUUCUACUAGACAAUCACAAUCACAUUGACAUGGAGCAAGCAAAAAGAGAAUAUAAACAAGGAACCAACCUGAUGAUCUGAGAUUUUGACGACGACCAAGAAGAAAUCAUUGUCAACUUCUUUGGUAUCCUUAACCCCAACAACCACAUCCUUCUUCAUCUUAGACAACUUGGGAUCAUCGUCCUCCUUUAUCUCAGUCUCAAACCACCCUUCCUUGAACAAUCUCACGCACACAUCACUAAUCUGAAACGCUUCAAAAUGCACAUCGGCACUCAUAUCUUCAUUCACCUCAAGCUUAACAACCGCAGUAACCCACUCUUUCAACCCACUCUCAGCAUGGUACUCCGCAGCCUGAAGUACCUCCCUAUUCGACAAAGUAUAAUCCUUCUUGUCCUGGCUUAUCGUCUGCGUGAAAAUGAACCCUACCCUCCUCAUCCCCAACCCCGCCGCAAUAGCCUCCACGAGUUUCUCCUCUUCGGGGUCCCUGAAAAACAAGAGAUUCUCCUCUGACCCCUGCUGCGGCGGCUCGUAGAUGAAGUCCACCUCGACCUUCCCCUCCUCGGAAACGUUGCCGUACAUGAAGCCGCCGCGCUUGACCGCGAACGCGAGCGUGUCGUUGACGUAGUGCUGGAACGCGUUAGCGCAAUCGCGGUCGAACGACACGAGCUCGCAGUGCGGAUUCUCCUGGCGCGUGACGCGCAUCUGCUUGGCGAUGAGGUCGUCCAUGGUCAUCUUGCGGCCGAAGGAUCCCGCGGGGUUGAAGGCGGGGCCCGCCACGUGGCGCUCGCCUUCGUAGGUCAAAAAGACGAUGGAGCCGUGAGCGAGGUUGAGAGACGAGAGAGUGACAUCGGGAUUGGCCAUAUCGGUGAAUCGAUGGAGAUCUUCACGCGAUUUCGCCAGUAGAAGGUUCUGGUUGGUGGAGAGGGUUUGGUUCUGAACCGGAAUUCUCAAUUGGGCUUCGAUAAGCCGCUUCAGCCCCAACACUGUGGUGGCGUGCGGGUUUUCGACCAUGACUCGCUCCAGGCCGUCGCGGCUUCGAAGUCUGAGCAUCAUGGUGGAGAAUCGAGGGUUGUUUAUGUUAGGAAUUUGCUUAAGAAUGUGGAAUUAGGGUUAUGCAGAAGAUGAUUAGGAGUGGGAAUUGGGAAUAGAAUGUGGAAUGAGUGAUGGCUUGUGGAAGUAGAAAAGGUGCAGGGAAAGAAAAAGGUUCGAUGGUGAUGAUGACAGUGACACACAGUAAGAAAGAGAAGCUUGUGCCCUUAGAUGUGAUCAAUUAUCUUAUAUAUUGGGUCUAACAACUAAUUCCAAAUUAUGCGUUAAGAUUCUGGAUUCUCAGUUACCAAAUCAAUCUUUUUCUAAACUCUAUAAUUUCUUUUCUUAAUAUAAUAUAUAUCUACAUAAUUUUCUAAGAAUAAUAUUAAAAAAUAAUAAAAUGAUAGAGUUAUAUGUAGCAUUUAUCUUUAAGUAUAAAAUUAUUUAAUUAUUAUUUAUUUAUUAAAUAUAAAGUUAUUUGAUUAAAAUAUUAAAAAAUAUCAAAGAAACGUAUAUCUAUAUAGAUUAAUAAUUCUUUUUGAAAGAAUAUACAUAUUUUAAAAAGUUAUUUGGAAGAUUAAGAUAUUAUUUUACAAAACUAAUCAGCUAAAAUAUAAAUAUAAAAAAAUUGAAAAUUGAACCAAAAAUAUAUUUUAAAAAUAAAAAUUGUAAACAAACAUAUAAAAAUUAAAGAAAAAUCAAUUUGUAAAUAACGGUAAGAUAGAAUAACUAUCUAAUCACAAAAAAAAAAAGGUAUUUGAUAUAUAUAGGAUCUUCUAAAUCUUUAUUCUCGUCUUGUUUUUGUUGACAUGGUAUCUUUUUUUUAUUAUGAAAGUGGCUUAAAUAUAAUUGAGAUAAGAGAUUAUAAUACAAUAUAUAUACAUAUAUUUUAAUUUAUAUUAUAUAAUUUUUUAUAUCAAAAGAUUUGUAUUCAGCGUGAUAUUUUCAGAUAUUUAUAAAUUAUAAGAACUUUUACAUGCAUAUUUAAAUAUUUAAUUAAUUAAAUUAUUAAAUUAACAAUGUUGUCUUUUGAAAACUUGUAUAUUUUUAAUAUUUUAAGGAAAUUAAAUUUUAACGUGUCAAAGUUAUAACGGACUUUUAAAAAGGUAAGUUUGUCAUAUUUUAUAUUGCAUUGUCAUUAUUUUAUUUUUGCGAAAUAUAUAUAUAUAUAUAUAUAUAUAAAUAUAUGUAUGUAAUGACAUAAUAUUAUUGCAUGGUAUAAAUUAAACAUACUAUUAAAUCUUAUCACAUUUUUUUUUCCUAUUCUUGUAUUGUAUGUUACUAUACAAUGAAUAUUGCAGUACACAUGAAUAGGUAUUUAUAACAGUAUAAGAGUGAAAAAAAUUAAAAUUGAAAAUAGUUAAAAGAAACUUUAACGAUGAUAUAAAAUAAUACUGAAUUAAAGAUAUAAAAAAUUAAGUAUAACUUAACUAUUUUAAAUCCUGGAAAUUUUUCUUGUAUAAAAAUUUUAAGUCACAUACUUAUUUUUUUUCUUUGUCAGUUAUUAGUAUCUUUAAACCAACUCGGAAAAAAGUUAAAAUAUAGUAAUAUAUAAUCAUUCAUGUGAAAAAAAAAAUUGAAAAUGUUGAAGUUUUUUAUUAUCAAAUUUCAUAUUUCUUAUGGCGUUGUGUGAGAGAAUGAAACUAAAAAACUUGUGAAACAAGUAAACGUAACAAUAAAAGAAUGAGACAAAUUAAUUUAUAAGAAUACGAGGAAAAUUAAAUGUUGAUUUAAAGUUUUAAUGUUUUAUUACUAUUUAUUUUCAACCUUGUAAGUAGAAAAGUUGUAGGAAUUUUAUUAAAUAUGUUGUUUUAUUUUUAUAUAUGAAAUGUAUUACUAAAAAAUAUUUUUACACAAAAGAUUAAUAUGGUUUUACGAUUCUAAUAUUUUUUAAAAGACAUAUUAAAAUCUAAAAAGUUCUCUAGUUUGAGGUUUUAGUGGUAGAUUAACAUAAAUUACAUUUUAAUAAAUAAAAAAGUUUAAAACAAGAAUAAAAAUAUUAAUAAUAUAAAGAAAAUUCAACUUUCCACCUCAAUAUCCAUAGUUUUUCUUCUUCUUCUUUUCUUCCAUUCUUUAUUUUUCACCUCUCAUCUUAAACAACCUUUAAAUCUCUUUCCAAUUUAAUAUUCAUGGUUUUUGUUUUCUUUUUUUCUUCUUCUUUUAUUCUUUAUUUUUCUUAUAGUUUAAACAAUCUUUAAAUCUCUUAUCUUUUUUGAUAAAUUUUUUAUAUAUCAAGCAAGAACAAUCUUUAAAUCUCUUGUCUUAUAAAACUUUUAUAUAUCUAGCAAGAACGUAACUUCGUAUUAGAGUUGUAAUCUUAUAUAAACUAUUAUACAACACAUUAAGGUAAUAAAUGAGUUUUUAUAAGAUUGUGAUUGAAAUUAUCUCUUUAAAUUUAUAGUUUCCUUAAGAGCAAAAUAAAAUUUAAUGUAAAGGUCUAGCUGUAUCUUAAAUUAUAAAUAAAGACUUGUGAAUACUAUGGAUAUGGAGAUUUGUAUGUGAAAUGGAUAAUCAAAAUUUUGUAUUUUUGUCAUUUCAUAUAAAACAGUGUUAUUAUGUAGUUAUUUUGGUUAAAUAAGACUUAAUUGUGAAAUUGAGUGAUUUGAUUAUAAGAAUUUGAAGUAGUUUAAUGUUAGAUUUAAUGAUUUAUAAUUAAAUAAUUUAUAUUUAUAAGGUUACAAUUCAAAUCAUCUCUCCAACUUUAUGGUUUCCUUAAGAUUGAAGGAAAUUCAGACUUGAUAAUAUUUUUGGAUUUGAAGAUUUAACAUAAUCUAAAGUUAUAAUUUAAACUUUAAACAAACUUGAUAAUAUUUUUGGAUUUGGAGAUUUGCAUAUAAAGUGGAUAAUCAAAAGUUGUUACUUUUGUUAUUUGGUAUAGAUUAGUGUUAUUUUUUAAUUGUUUUGGUGAAAAAACUUAAUUAUAAAAUUGAAUCAUUUAAUUGUAAGAUUUUGAAGUGGUUUGGUGUUAGAUUUAAUGAUUUAUAUUUAAAUGUUGAAAGGUUAUUUGAUUUUUAUUUCAUUUCCAUGAUGCGCGGAUUAAUGAAGGAAGAAAAAGAAGGAUUUUUUUUAUUAAGAUUAGGAUCUUCGCAAGCUGAAACAAUCCGGACCUAGGAGAUAAGUAUACUUAUCGGUCUCAUUCCAUGAUGGACUAACAACAUGAGAAUAAAGAAAUAAUUUUUUUUUUAAUAAAAUGACUUUUCAUUUACCUUGAUCCAGAGGCCAUCAAUUUUAAGAAUAAAGUGUUUAAUUUUAAGUGUUUAGAUAUUAUAAUUUUAUUAUUCAAAUGCUAUAUUUGACUGAAAAUUGUUGGUUAGCUAAUGAAUCAUUUUGAUAUGGAAUGAACCAAUGUUUGAUCUUUAAAAUGAGCAGAAUAAUUAUUACGAGUACGAGAAAGUUAUUCGUCCUACUUUAUAUAAUAUACAUACUGAGAUAUAUAAUAUAUGAAUGAAUAGGCUUCUAAACUAAUUAGUGUGUAAAGAAACUACAUUUUUACAUGUGAGUUGUGAGAAAAUUAAAUGAUUAUGUUAAAAAUUAAAUACAUUUUUACAUCUUUGGUUUACAGGGCUUUCUUUCUCUCUCACUACUCUGUGUUACCUAGGGUUUAUUUCCACUCCUUUUUAUAGUGUAUGUUCUUCCUACGAAUUUCUUCA
rnacentral:lncRNA from 1 species